rnacentral:rRNA from 1 species
UACGUAGGGUGCAAGCGUUUAUCCGGAAUUAUUGGGCGUAAAGAGCUCGUAGGCGGUUUGUCGCGUCUGCUGUGAAAACUGGAGGCUCAACCUCCAGCCUGCAGUGGGUACGGGCAAACUAGAGUGCGGUAGGGGAGAUUGGAAUUCCUGGUGUAGCGGUGGAAUGCGCAGAUAUCAGGAGGAACACCGAUGGCGAAGGCAGAUCUCUGGGCCGAUACUGACGCUGAGGAGCGAAAGCGUGGGGAGCGAACAGG